GAGAUGGGGACAGCUGCUGUGUCAGCUAGGUGAGGUCCAGGUGGGUGAGGUCUCUUGUAGAUAGGGCGAGAUGGGGACAGCUGCUGUGUCAGCUAGGUGAGGUCCAGGUGGGUGAGGUCUCUUGUAGAUAGGGCGAGAUGGGGACAGCUGCUGUGUCAGCUAGGUGAGGUCCAGGUGGGUGAGGUCUCUUGUAGAUAGGGCGAGAUGGGGACAGCUGCUGUGUCAGCUAGGUGAGGUCCAGGUGGGUGAGGUCUCUUGUAGAUAGGGCGAGAUGGGGACAGCUGCUGUGUCAGCUAGGUGAGGUCCAGGUGGGUGAGGUCUCUUGUAGAUAGGGCGAGAUGGGGACAGCUGCUGUGUCAGCUAGGUGAGGUCCAGGUGGGUGAGGUCUCUUGUAGAUAGGGCGAGAUGGGGACAGCUGCUGUGUCAGCUAGGUGAGGUCCAGGUGGGUGAGGUCUCUUGUAGAUAGGGCGAGAUGGGGACAGCUGCUGUGUCAGCUAGGUGAGGUCCAGGUGGGUGAGGUCUCUUGUAG